rnacentral:rRNA from 1 species
AGAGUUGAUCCUGGCUAGGACGAACGCUGGCGGCAUGCCUAACACAUGCAAGUCGAACGGGGGUAGCAAUACCCUAGUGGCGAACGGGUGAGUAACACAUAAGCAAUCUGCCCUUCACAGGGGGAUAACAGCGGGAAACUGCUGCUAAUACCGCAUAAGACCACGGUACCGCAUGGUACAGGGGUAAAGACGAAUCAGUGGUGAAGGAUGAGCUUAUGUCCCAUUAGCUAGUUGGUGAGAUAACAGCCCACCAAGGCGACGAUGGGUAGCCGACCUGAGAGGGUGAUCGGCCACACUGGAACUGAGACACGGUCCAGACUCCUACGGGAGGCAGCAGUGGGGAAUAUUGGGCAAUGGAAGGAAACUCUUACCCAGCAAUGCCGCGUGAGUGAAGAAGGUCUUCGGAUUGUAAAGCUCUUUGAUUGGGGACGAAGAAAGUGACGGUACCCAAAGAACAAGCCCCGGCUAACUACGUGCCAGCCGCGGC